UUUCCCCGCGACGCACUCGCUGCAAGUGGGGCCGUGUGCCGCACCGCCUCCCCCGCAGCGCCUCACCUACGCCUGGGUCCCACCCGAGAUUUCGCACCGCCGCUGUCCGCUCCGCCCGGCCGCCCGGGGGAUCAGACCGGCGGCAUCCCGGUGGGGGAUGUGGCCCGCUCCGCCCUCCGGCGCCGUCGUUCGCCGAGGUCCCCAUCCCCUUCCCCCUCCCAUUCCAUCCUGGUCACCGCGGGCCUCCGCCAUGGAGGAUCCUGGGCACCCCCUCCCGAGCUCCCCACCUCUCGACCUCCUCCUCCGCCGCCCCUGUUCCUCCGUGUUGUUCCUCCUGACAAAAUCGGCAGGUGCCUGUUCCUCCGUGUUGUUCCCCUUCCGGAUUCCUUGCCGUCGUCGCCGACUCUGAUGGGUCGCUGCUGCCCUCUCGUGCCUCCGCUCUCGCUACUGUUCUCGAUUGGACCGACAUCCAUGAGGUCACACAAAUCCCAACCUUGGUAGCUCUACUGCCAGCAAGAUGAAAGGGACAGCUCCGAAGAACAGCGAUGGUGGGUGAGCCCCUGAGCGGCCCUCUCUCUCUCUGCUUGAUCUGAUUUGAUUUUGGAGGGUAGUAAUCUUUUUUAUGUUUGCAUAGCCCCUCUCCAAAUUCAGUGUUUUAGAUGGUUAGAAUAAGUAACCUCUUAUCGCUGAAGAAAAGUAGCAUUCGUGAAUACAUUCAGAGAUCUACCGCUCUUCAUGCUAGAUUGAUGCUGCGUUAGUUCCACAUGAUAUAAUGUAUUUUUGUCUUCUAAUCAUCUAUUUGGCUAUAUUUUCUGCACGAAAUUGUCCACAAAACUUGAUUAGUAACAUGGGUGGGUAUACAUGGAGUGGCAGAGUCCAACUCUGAAUCCUCAGCAGUGCAGUUGUAUUCGUCAGAAAUCAGGAUAUGCAUUGCUCCAUAGCAGCGGACUGAUCCAGCAAUGGUUGGGUGUUUCUCUUAGGCUUAAUUUCAUCAAUGUUCAAAGUGCAGGAAUCCAUGGUCCUGAACACAUCAAUUAAUAUCUCUUCUCUUUUACCUUUUCUGCCCCUACCUACAAUAAUCAGUAGUUUCUAAAUUGUAUGUUCACGUAGUAUAAGUGGGACUAAAUAUUUUUUUGAUUUGUACAGUGUCAUAUGUUUCUUCUUAUACAAAUAGCUUAAGCUUUCUGUUUCAUGUUACUCUUGUCAGUUUAUCUAACAAAAGAACCAACAAUAGUUUGCACCAAUUGAGUCUUUGUGAAGUUGAAAUUGCAGGUUCUUUAACAUUGUUGUGUAUGUUUAUUGCGGUUUCAGAUGACCCUUUAGUUUAAAAUAAAUGUAAAUGUGAUACGCAUACAUUAACUCCUACAAGUAAUUUAUCAGCAAACAUAUAAAACAUUCACAUACAUGGUUGUUGACUUAGCAUAUUUCUACUAUGAUAAGACAUCUUUUUUGAUAGGGCCCAAAUUCUUCAGCAUAGCAACCAUGCUGUGUAAUUAUUUGUACAUUACGAUAAGGUAGUUUGUUCCCCAAUUUCUCUGAUUUCUUUGCUGCUUCAGUUUUGAUGUGUUUCUUCUGUCAACCAAAGUACUUUAUUCUAUACUUUAAUAUAGAAGAAAUAUUGCUGCCUUCGCAUA